UACGUAGGGUGCGAGCGUUGUCCGGAAUUAUUGGGCGUAAAGAGCUCGUAGGCGGUUUGUCACGUCUGGUGUGAAAUCCCGAGGCUCAACCUCGGGCCUGCAGUGGGUACGGGCAGACUGGAGUGCGGUAGGGGAGAAUGGAAUUCCUGGUGUAGCGGUGGAAUGCGCAGAUAUCAGGAGGAACACCGAUGGCGAAGGCAGUUCUCUGGGCCGUAACUGACGCUGAGGAGCGAAAGCGUGGGGAGCGAACAGG
rnacentral:rRNA from 1 species